rfam:Oryza glumipatula chromosome 8, whole genome shotgun sequence.
AAAGACCGAAUUCUUUGGUUCUCGUGUCCAACGUUUGACCGUCCGUCUUAUAUGAAUUUUUUUAUGAGUAGUAUUUUCAUUAUUGUUAGAUGAUAAAAUAUGAAUAAUAUUUUAUGCAUGACUUACCUUUUUAAAAUUUUUUAUUUUUUUUCAAAUAAGACGAAUGGUCAAAUGUUAGACACGGAAACCCAGGAAUUGAGUUUUU